rnacentral:rRNA from 1 species
GACGAACGCUGGCGGCGUGCUUAACACAUGCAAGUCGAACGGAAAGGCCCUGCCUUUGUGGGGUGCUCGAGUGGCGAACGGGUGAGUAACACGUGAGUAACCUGCCCUUGACUUUGGGAUAACUUCAGGAAACUGGGGCUAAUACCGGAUAGGAGCUCCUGCUGCAUGGCGUGGGUUGGAAAGUUUCGGUGGUUGGGGUAGGACUCGCGGCUUAUCAGUUUGUUGGUGGGGUAGUGGCUUACCAAGGCUUGGACGGGUAGCCGGCCUGAGAGGGUGACCGGCCACAGUGGGACUGAGAUACGGCCCAGACGGCUACGGGAGGCAGCAGUGGAGAAUAUUGCACAAUGGGCGGAAGCCGGAUGCAGCAACGCCGCGUGCGGGAGGACGGCUUUCGGGGUGUAAACAGCUUUCGCCUGGGACGAAGAGUGAGUGACGGUAAUGGGUAAAGAAGCACCGGCUAACUACGUG